ensembl:lncRNA
AUGGGGAAACUGAGGCCUGGAGAAGGGAGAGCGCCUGUUCGCAGUCACCCAGUGGGACACGGAGCUGACGGCAGAGAUUCCCGGAGCAGGGUACUGGCAAAGCCGCGGAGACGGCUCGGAAUGGGUCAGGGGCUGCACACUUCGCCUCGUGGGUGCUCUGGGAUACUGAUGAGCGCAGGGACAGCCGACUACGCACCCGCAGGCCCGCGGGCAGACCCUCUGAGAUACCAACACCACACACGCUGCGAAAAUGGGAGUCGGAGGAUGUGUGCUCACUCCUGCAACGUGAACCCAUACACGCACCGAGACGCACACUACGCGCAGCGGAGAAAACGAACCUAUCGCGCGUGCAAACCUGCAAAAAGUCGACAGCCCAUGCACUCCUGCUCCCACGCACACCAAACACACCCCGCAAGUGCACACUCGGGGACAAGACGUGCCAUACAGUCUACUUUCAUACACCAGCUCAGUCAGCAACACUAGUAGCUGCACAGUCUCACGCUCACCAUGCGCGAGCGCUGGGUGCCCCUCCACGGAGCCUUGGGCCUUCCAUCAUCCCUCCUGGAAAACGGACCCGGGGCCCCAAACUCUCCUUUCCCCUCGUGCUCCCCGCGCGAUCCCAAAACUCCCCAAUUCACCAUUCCUGGGACACCCGCCUUGUCUGUCGGCCGGGGGCCCUCCCCCUUCCCGGGCCGCGGGCCGCACCCCCUCUCACCUCGUCCCCACUCACCUCGCAGCGGCUGCUGCAGCUGGCUCGCGGGGCGCACGGCUCGGCGCGCCUCCACUGGCGCGGCAGCCCCCGCAGCCGCAGCGUCCAGCGGGGCGGCAUCCCGGAGGUGGGGGCGGGGCCGCAGCCUGCCUGACAGCCUCUCCAGCCACUAACUCGCUGCGGCCGCCCCGCCGAGGNNNNNNNNNNNNNNNNNNNNNNNNNNNNNNNNNNNNNNNNNNNNNNNNNNNNNNNNNNNNNNNNNNNNNNNNNNNNNNNNNNNNNNNNNNNNNNNNCUGGGUGCUGCCCGGGCCCCCCUCCGCCCGCUGCCUAUCAGGGAUAGUCCGCGGGGCGGCGCCGCAGGCUGCAGAGCCUGGGCACUGUAGUCGGGGCUGGGCCGGCCAGGGGGGCGAGAGGCACUCCGUAUCAGGAGAGCCGAAUCAACCUGUCUCUUCGCCUCUCCCAGAGGCUGAGACAAGACCCUUCUUCCCUCGUCCAGCGUCAGUUUUCUCCUGGUCAAAUGGAACCCGCCAAGCCUGCUAACGUGGAGGCAGUGCAAGUAAAAGUGCUUUCAGAGUUUCCUUGCAGAAUACAACCUGCUCCCACAGAUUUCUCAGCGGGUCAGCAGCGAAGUUGGGACCCCAACCCAGGGCUUUCAGACUACUUUUCUUAAGUUUCUGUUUCUGUGGUGUUUUUCACCGAAAAGAAACCAGACUAGAGUGUCUCCUUCCAAAGCUAAAGGAUAAACAAAAAUAGAUAUCCAGAUCCCAACUAGAAAAUACCCCCAAGUGAAUCUGUGAAUCUCUCUGGGAGCAGAGUCCCUGAACCUCGAUUUUUAGCGAGCCCCCAGGAGAUCCUGGGCUGGAGAAUUCCACAGACUGAAGAGCCUGGUGGGCUACAGUCCAUGCAGUCCAUCAGGACCUGGGACCUGGUUCCCCUGCAGUCCGGCUUCCCUCACAGACAGCAGUGUUGCAGCAAGUCCUGCCCGGUGAGUAGAAAGAACGCUGGAGGAAGAGCAAGACCUCUGGGCAACUGGAAACAGUAGCUCAGUUCCCAUCUCCGAACCUGUUUCCCCCUGGGUAAAAUGGGGUUAACUCCCCGUGUCAGGUCUAUCCAAGGUUACCAGAGGCUCCAGCCAGGCCUCUGAGAUGGUGUCUGUAUUUCAUGUCCGCUUGCCGCACUCCUCAUUGUUUGCUGAUGAUCUGGACCCACUUCAAGAACCCUGCUUGGCUCUUGACUCUUUGAAGAAAGGUAUCUGGUCUCUUUGGCCUUGGUCUCACAUUUAAAAAUGUUUAUGGAGCCCCUUCCUACUACACACCCAGGUCAGGUCUCACAACAUAGGAUUCUACACAGGGUAAGAGACCUCAAACAGCAUCCCUGAAUUCUUAGAAAGCCAGGACAUUAGAAUUACCGAAUCCUAAAAUCUAAUUUCCUGUCAUUGAUUAAAUAUAGCAUCUUACAGUUAGCAAUAAUGGCAGGAAGGACCUUGGAAAUUUUGUUAGGACCACCUCCACAUUCAGAGGAGAGAUGUGACUGGCCCAUAGCAGUAUGGUGGGGUGUGGCAGAACUGGCUCUGGAACUCAGGCUUCCUGACUCCCACUCCAGCACUCUUCCUCCUAUGCCAGCCAUGAUGUCUCUCAUAGACGCAGUAUGCCAGCCCCGCCCAUCACGCAUAGUCCAGGGGCCAUGGCUGCAUAGGGCACCUCAAAGGUUUUGCCUCUAUCCAGGGACUUGGAGUUGGGGAUUUCUGCUACUUUUGUGGCAGGAGAGAAAGGGGUAGAAAGGAGUCAGAGUAGCUCACCAGCCCCUCCAAUGCACCACUAGAUGCUCCUUCCCCAUUCCCUCACUCUUCUGAAGUGCCAGGGCCAGCUUUAGCACCCAUAGGCCAUGCGGCUUUUAGUAAAUCAGAAUCUCAUUCUGGACCUCAGUUUCUCCCUCAAAAAGCUGGAGGGUUGGGAAAAGAUUCCCGGCCUUUCCCAUUCUGCCCUUUGGUGAGGCCAGGAACCAGGAACUGAGUUCUUUGCUUCUCUCCUUACCACAGACACACACACAGAACACUGCACACUCAGUCAGAACUCAGAAAAUAUUUGCUGAAGAAGUCACUUAAACCAACUGGCACUGCAGACAAAGACUUCAGAUUUCCAAGAUGCAGCAACAACUCAUUCAGUUAUUCUUUGCUGAGCACCUACUGCUGAUCCAGUUUCCAUGCCUGAGUUGGGGACGUGGAGAUCCUGCCUUUCCCUCAGUGAAUUCACAGCUCCACCCCACCAGGACAGAUGUGAAGUCUGGCAAAGUA